rnacentral:rRNA from 1 species
CAAGUCGAACGGUUCCAGCAAUGGGACAGUGGCGAACGGCGGAGUAAUACGCGAGCAACGUGCCACGAAGACCGGGAUAGUCGGCCGAAAGGCCGGGUAAUACCGGAUGUGGCGUUUUUUACACCUGUAUGAGACGUUAAAAGGUUUUUCGCUUCGGGAGCGGCUCACGGCCUAUCAGGUAGUUGGGGAGGUAACGGCUCACCAAGCCGACGACGGGUAGCGGGUCUGAGAGGAUGGUCCGCUCGAGUGGGACUGAGACACGGCCCACACACCUACGGGUGGCAGCAGUUGGGAAUCUUGCACAAUGGGGGGAACCCUGAUGCAGCGACGCCGCGUGGAGGACGAAGGGUCUAGGCCUGUAAACUCCUUUUCCCCGGAAAGACUUAGGACGGUACCGGGGGAAUAAGCACCGGCUAACUACGUGCCAGCAGCCGCGGUAAGACGUAGGGUGCAAGCGUUGUCCGGAUUUACUGGGCGUAAAGCGCGCGUAGGCGGCUCGUUAAGUGUGAAGUGAAAUCCCGGGGCUCACCCCCGGAACUGCUUUACAUACUGGCGGGCUUGAGGGAUGCAGAGGUCUAUGGAAUUCCCGGUGUAACGGUGAAAUGUGUUGAUAUCGGGAGGAACACCCAUGGCGAAGGCAGUAGACUGGGCAUCACCUGACGCUGAGGCGCGAAAGCGUGGGUAGCAAACAGGAUUAGAUACCCUGGUAGUCCACGCCCUAAACGAUGGAUACUAGGCGUCGGGGGUAUCGACCCCCCCGGUGCCGCAGCUAACGCAUUAAGUAUCCCGCCUGGGGAGUACGGCCGCAAGGUUGAAACUCAAAUGAAUUGACGGGGACCCGCACAAGCGGUGGAGCAUGUGGAUUAAUUCGAUACUAACCGAAGAACCUUACCCACGCUUGACAUCGAUGGCAAGCCUCA